rnacentral:tRNA from 1 species
AAGGAUAAAGUUAUCAUCUUCAGUUUUGAGAGACUUAAGAAAGUUUUUCAUAUUUUUAAGAUUCGGGCCUAUAGCUCAGCUGGUUAGAGCGCACGCCUGAUAAGCGUGAGGUCGGGUGGUUCAAGUCCAUUUAGGCCCACCAAAAUAGGUCACAUCUUAAAAAAGCUCUUUGAAAAGUAGA